rnacentral:tRNA from 1 species
GCGCUGCUGGUCCACGGUGGCGGCGCACCGGCGCUGAUGCCGCUGCUCGGCGAUGCGCAGUUCCAGCCGGCGCUGGUGCU